ACUCCGCGUUCCGGCUUCCUUUGCUUUCCUUGCUGUGGAAACUGCUCUGCCUGGCAGUUUUGGUCUGUCCCGGUUUUCGGAGCUCCUCAGGUCCCUCCCUGUUUUUUCCUGCAAGUUCCUCAGGUCUUUCCUCUUUUCCCUUUGGGAGCUCAGCUCUCUUCCCCUCUCCCCCUCUUCCCCUGGGAGCUCAGCUCUCUCCCCAUUUCCCCCCGUUAGCUCAGAUCUUUCUUCCUUUCCCUCUGCGAACUCAGGGCUUCCUCCUUUCUUCCCUUGCCCCUGAGAUCUCUCGGCAUUCCUGCACCCAAGCCCGUGCUUGCAUCUCCCAGGAAGCCUGGAGCCAGAGGGAAUGGGCCCUGGGAGCCUCAGACCUCCUCAGUUUCUUCCUGAAAAUUGGAGGGGGUUGAAUUCUUUCCUUCUGAAGGAUCUUUCAGCCCCACAUCUUCUGACUUUUGAUGCU